CGAUUACGUUGGUUUCAGUGAUAAAAUGGUGGUACUCGGUAGCGGUGAGAAUUGUGGCACUUCAGAGUCUCCCAAGCAUCGAGCCAGUGAUUAUAAUCGGCUGAAUUCAGUUGGUUUCUCCAGGGAAAUGAUGGGAGAGAAAUCCAGCUGUGGUAAAACAAAUUUGCAACGAAGAUAUGGUGUUUUGAAAUCAGAUUCAGAAAUGGAGCAGAUGUCUGAGAAAGACAUUGAAAUGGAGUGGGGAACAGAUGGAUGUGCACAGGAACAGAAGACUGAAAAUGUAGGUGUUGGUGUGGAUGAAUUGAGACUUGGUUCUCCUUGUCAGAAGACUGAAAAGGAGAGAAUCUCACGUUCCAGAACACUUGGUAUCAAGUCUAAAAUUUCCCGAUCGAGUUCACUGUCAUCUUCUGCCAGUUCCCGAUCAGGUUCGGUUUCAUCUUCGAGCACUUUUCGAUCAGGUUCAGUGUCGUCUUCAGACAGCUCCUGGUCAAGUUCAGCAUGUUCUUCAAGCAGCUCGCGGUCGAGUUCAACAUCGUCUUCAGGUAGCUCUCGAUCGAUAUCUGUGUCAUCUUCAGGCAGCUCUCGAUCAAGUUCAGUGUCAUCUUCAGGCAGCUCCCGAUCAGGUUCAGUGUCGUCUUCAGAACGGUAUGGUUCAAGUUCAGAUGAUAUCUCAUUAGCUUCAAGAGGCAGGUAUGCUUCACUGAAGAGGAGCUGCAGAAGAUCAAGGCGGACCUAUUCAAGGUCCCGGUCUAGAAGCUGGUCAAGGUCUUGUUACCAAAGAUCCAGAUGUCGAAUGUCUUAUCAGUCACCAAGUAGAUACAGGUCCAGAACCAGGUGCUACAUGCCCCCUUCUAGAUCAUACAGAAGGUCAAGAUCCAGCUUGAGGUACAGAAGAUCUCGCUCAAGGUCAUGGUCGAGGUCUCCAUCCAGACUUCAGAGAAGCCAUAAUGGCUUUAUGUGCAGAACCCAACCACCAUCACACAGAAGAAGCCGUAGCAGAUCGAGGGACAGAUCUAUCCACUUAACGCAAAAAGAGAAAAAGAAAUUGCUUGAAAUAGCAAAGGCAAAUGCUGAUAAAUUAUUGGGAAAGGACAACAUCCACUUGCUUCCCAGUCUGAAGCCUGCCAGUCCUCUUAAAAAUGAGAGACUUUUCGAAAUGAAAACUAACAGUGAUGCAAUAAAAGACCUGACCAGAAAGAAGCCUUGAAAUGGACUGCACUUCUUGAAGAUAUGAGGAAGUUUUGAAUAUCAGAUCUUUGCCGGAGAAGAGGCCAACAGUUUUUGAAGAUAAGUUUAUUGGCUUUUAUAGCCUAGAAUAUACCUUAUCAACACAGCUGCGUUCAGUUCUACAUUUGUAGUGAUUAAUAUGUUACUGAAAAUGCUCAGAAGCAUUUUGAACUCUGAAGUUGAAAUUGUCAUUGAAAUAACUAACAUGUUCAGUGGUAAUUCAUUGAUCUGACUCAUUGAUUACAUUGAAGUAAUUGGUGCCCAUUAAGCUUUGAUCAGUGGAUCAGAUAUUCUGGAACUUUAACAUUCCAAGUCUCAUUCUCGUAUCUGCUUGGGUCAGCAUGCUAAAAUAAGGUUUGAAGUAUUCUAAACUGUUGACCAUAUUGGUGCAAAUAUACAGAAAUGGUAUGGUGCCAAGCCACAAGGAACAAUAGCAACUCUACUGCAGAUUCUACCACAUCAGUUAGAACAAUAGUGACAUUUAUUAUUCAAAAGCCAGUGUUGUAAUGUUGGGUCUGUCCAACCAGUGCUACAAAUGCUUCAUCCUGAAGAGACUCUCUGAUUGUGGGUCACAGUUUACAAUACAUUGACCACUUUUAAGAUUAACUUGUAGAUUUUUUUUGUAUUUUUGUGCAGGAAUACAAAAAAGAAGCUGAAGAGGAUGAACCAAUUCAGAAAUUACCAAGUGCCACUGCAAGGAUAGAAGCAAACCAUUGGAUAGCUUUCAGUGUUAAAAAUACAGUGGCAAAACCAUUGAGUCAAAAAACAUCAAACGCUUCUGCUAAAGAGUCUCCUGAACACAAGCGGAAAGGAAGCCCCUAUGGACAGUGGGUAUUAGUGCAUAAUGGCCA